rnacentral:miRNA from 10 species
CAGGGUGCUCACUGAUAUACGA